AUAUCGGUACUGUGGAGCGUAAUGACAGAGGGAGAGUGUCCCAAAAAGCGAAAAUAUAAAAUGCAUUUCUACACAAAAGCGUAUCCUUGUUUAAUAUGGUUGAAAAUAAUGACAAUGUUACGCGCUGAACUGUUUGCAACAUUGAUUUCAGCAUUGCUCAUGACGGUUUAAACGGCUGUAAAAAGUACGUUCAGGAAGGCUCACAUCCAACCGAAGACCGUGACCCCAGAGGUAAGCUGACAUGUACCAAAACAUCCUGAUCACAGAGUUAAGCUGUCAUCUACUCAGAUGCCCUAAUUCCAAAGACUCCUUGAUCCCAGACGUAAACUGCCGUCCACCGAAACACCCUGGCCCUACAGGUAAGCUCCCAAACAUGCAACCGGCCCAACCACAGAG